GCAGCAGCUGCGGUAAUUCCAGCUCCAAUAGCGUAUAUUAAAGUUGUUGCAGUUAAAAAGCUCGUAGUUGGGUUUCUGGCAGGAGCGUCCGGUCUCACACUCAGUGCGGGAACUUGGAUGUCUCUGGCCAUCUUUGGGGAUAUCCUGUUUGGCAUUAAGUUGUCGGGCAGGGGAUACCCAUCGUUUACUGUGAAAAAAUUAGAGUGUUUAAAGCAGGCUUAUGCCGUUGAAUAUAUUAGCAUGGAAUAAUAAGAUAGGACUUUGGUACUAUUUUGUUGGUUUGUGCACCAGAGUAAUGAUUAAUAGGGACAGUUGGGGCUAUUCGUAUUCCAUUGUCAGAGGUGAAAUUCUUGGAUUUCUGGAAGGCGAACUACUGCGAAAGCAUUUAGCAAGGAUGUUUUCA
rnacentral:rRNA from 1 species